rnacentral:rRNA from 1 species
AACCUGCCUCGGAGUGGGGAAUAACACAACGAAAGCUGUGCUAAUACCGCAUGAUACAGUUGGGUCGCAUGACUCUGACUGUCAAAGAUUUAUCGCUCUGAGAUGGCCUCGCGUCUGAUUAGCUAGUUGGUGGGGUAACGGCCCACCAAGGCGACGAUCAGUAGCCGGACUGAGAGGUUGACCGGCCACAUUGGGACUGAGACACGGCCCAG